rnacentral:rRNA from 1 species
CUGGAAUCGCUAGUAAUCGCGGAUCAGAAUGCCGCGGUGAAUACGUUCCCGGGUCUUGUACACACCGCCCGUCACACCAUGGGAGUCGGAAAUGCCCGAAGUCUGUGACCCAACCGCGAGGAGGGAGCAGCCGAAGGCAGGUCGGAUGACUGGGGUGAAGUCGUAACAAGGUAUC